rnacentral:rRNA from 1 species
GACGUAGGGCGCGAGCGUUGUCCGGAUUUAUUGGGCGUAAAGAGCUCGUAGGCGGCUUGUCGCGUCGUCCGUGAAAACCUGCGGCUCAACUGCAGGCUGGCGGUCGAUACGGGCAGGCUGGAGUUCGGUAGGGGAGACUGGAAUUCCUGGUGUAGCGGUGAAAUGCGCAGAUAUCGGGAGGAACACCAGUGGCGAAGGCGGCGAUCUGG